rnacentral:rRNA from 1 species
AUUGAACGCUGGCGGCAUGCCUUACACAUGCAAGUCGAACGGCAGCGCGGGGGCAACCCUGGCGGCGAGUGGCGAACGGGUGAGUAACAUAUCGGAACGUGCCCAGUCGUGGGGGAUAACGCAGCGAAAGCUGCGCUAAUACCGCAUACGAUCUAUGGAUGAAAGCGGGGGACCGUAAGGCCUCGCGCGAUUGGAGCGGCCGAUGUCAGAUUAGGUAGUUGGUGGGGUAAAGGCUCACCAAGCCAACGAUCUGUAGCUGGUCUGAGAGGACGACCAGCCACACUGGGACUGAGACACGGCCCAGACUCCUACGGGAGGCAGCAGUGGGGAAUUUUGGACAAUGGGCGCAAGCCUGAUCCAGCAAUGCCGCGUGCAGGAAGAAGGCCUUCGGGUUGUAAACUGCUUUUGUACGGAACGAAACGGCUCUCUCUAAUACAGGGGGCUAAUGACGGUACCGUAAGAAUAAGCACCGGCUAACUACGUGCCAGCAGCCGCAGUAA